CAGUCGCCACGGUAAUACAGAGGGUGCGAGCGUUAAUCGGAUUUACUGGGCGUAAAGCGUGCGUAGGCGGCUUCUUAAGUCGGAUGUGAAAUCCCUGAGCUUAACUUAGGAAUUGCAUUCGAUACUGGGAAGCUAGAGUAUGGGAGAGGAUGGUAGAAUUCCAGGUGUAGCGGUGAAAUGCGUAGAGAUCUGGAGGAAUACCGAUGGCGAAGGCAGCCAUCUGGCCUAAUACUGACGCUGAGGUACGAAAGCAUGGGGAGCAAACAGGAUUAGAGACCCGCGUAGUCCCUGUCUCUUAUAA
rnacentral:rRNA from 1 species